AGAAACCUUUGUGCAGUAACUUGAAACAAAUCUUUCCUUAUGAACACACUCAGGGUGGUUGCUGUCAGUUGCUGGCAGUGCUAAUGACUAUCACAAGGAUGUGUGUGUACUAAUGUUGUUGGUGGGGGUCACUGGCAUCUUAUAAACACAAGAGGGAGCCUCAAGUUUCUAAGGUGUAAACAUGUAGCUUAUAUUACCAUCUUCUCUAUCAUGAUCAUCAUCAUCAUCAUACUCUGGUCCCUUAACAUUACAUCUUGUCACCAGCUCAUAUUGAGGACAUUACAUAGUAAGUUAAGUAUUUUAAAAUGAUGUGUCAUUGAUACAAAAUUGUACAUACCCAUUUAUAAUAUUAAUUCACAUAUGUUUUACUUUGUUCCUAUUCAGGGUCCCAAAGGCAUGUUCGAAUCUAUCCCAGCAAACAUUGGAAAGAAGGCAGGGAAACACUCUGGACAGUCCAUCAUAACCCUUUUAAAAUAUGUACACAGGAAGUGGAAGAAGAAGAGGAAACUAGACCUGAGUGAGAUGGAACAUCCUCUAAUCCAUGACAACUGAUGGAAACAAAUAAAAGUUUGAGAGAUAGCUGAAGAUGCCGCGGGUCGCCUUCCACCCACCAUGUUUCCGCAGUAGCUCAGAAUGGACAAACUUUAUAGGGCUGUUCACGUUUUUUGCACAUUUUGUGGCCACUGUGGAUCCUACACGCUUGCAGUCUGCAACCAAACCGCUGGAUGCCCCUAAAUCCUACACACUGGACCUUCAAGACAUGAUGCUGAUUUCAUGAAAUGUCUUGACAUCAGGUUCUUACCUUCACCUUAUAUCCGCACUUGCCUGAAUGUGCUCACUUGACUUUUUAUGAAAUCCACAAAUGUGCAUCAUUCAACAACUGAGAAAAUAUUUUUGGUUUGAUAUAAAAAUGUGUUGUGGCUCUGGUGGCAGUAUACGCCACUCACAACUCAUUCCAUUUUUGGAUGACUGUAGUUUAAAACUCUAGCGAAAUAUGACCUAGGCCCCACCCUAAUCUUAAUGAAAUACUGUACUUUGAUAGUUUAACCUCAACCAGAGUUGUAGUAAACAAAACAUUAAAUGCCCUUAAUGUAAUCCAUGCAUUAAUAACAAAUACAUACCCACACGCGCACAUCAUUACUCAGCAACCACCUUUAACCUGACAUUGUUAUUAAGUGAGUUUCAGUACUGUGUUAUAUUCAUGUGAGAAUGUGAGUAUUGAGUUUUGCAUAUUUUUUCAGCAUAUGAUAAAUAGAAAAGUAGAGGAAU